AAGAUAUUGUGCAAUGAAUAUUGAUAGCAAAAAAGUCUAAGGGGAAUAGGGUAUUAAGGGAAGCUAUUUCUGACACCAUAAAAAUAAAUUCUUCUUUACAUCUAAACUUAUUUUUUUUGGAUCAAAAUCAUAUUAGUGAGUAACAAAAGGAACAUAUAAAAUAUUUGCUAACUAAACAUUUUGAAACAUGCAUUGUCUGCAGAGAACAUAGUGGUAACUAAACACAGUUGAGAAAUCUAUUAUCUUAGUCUUUGCUUCAUGAGCAAGGCACAUUUACUGAGAGUUUUCUCCUAACACUGUUUUCAGACCUGCAUCUUAUUUAAUUGGUCUUACAAAAUUGUCUCUGAAAAUCUUUUGCCCAGCAUAUAUGUCAGAUGCCCAGACGGAAGCAUUAAGAACUUUGAUUCCUCAAUCCCUCAGGAACUUUGUUUUCAAAUCGCUUCUAAUAAGGACAUACUGAGAGAGCAUGUGCAUGACUGAUACAGUGGUGGUACAUUUUUCACGGUGACUUUGAAGAACGAUAAUGACAUUUGCAUAGUAUGCAUUCACUUUACUUGAAGCUGUAUCAUUUUUUCUUUACAGAUACUCUAAUAUCCCCAAAAGCCAUGCUGACUUCUACAGCGUUCUAUGUGACUCCACCAUCAGUUGUGUUGGGCUGAAUGCUGCUGUGCAGCAGGACGUAGCUACUAUGUUGUCACUGCUCGCAGCAGGUUUAAUGUCCUCUACAAUAAGGAAAGAACUGCAGCUUCAAGACCCCAUACUGCUGAGCAGGGGUCAAUAUCACAAACAGGAGGAUGGAAGGUAUUCCAGCAAAGUUUCACCAAAUAGAACUGGGGACUCCUGAAGGUGGCUAUUAGACAAGGAAGGAUAAUAAAGGUUAACAGUUCCCAGACCCAGCUAUACUCUGAGGAUUCACAAUCAUAUUACUGCUGAUGUACACUCCUUCUGUACCACUUUAAGGUAUAUAUUUUAAAGGUAAUGUUCUAGAAUGCUGUGGUAAAUAUAUAUGAGGAAAAAUGCAACCAUUUAUGUAAUAAACUCAAGGCAGGUUUUGAAGGAGGUUGAAGCAAGAGUAUGAAAUAAUAAAACACUUAGAGACUUAUUCUUUGAUGCUCUGCCCUUGUGAGGGAAUUGCCUGUUCUGCAAGUGUAUAAUAAAACAAAAGCAGCCAGGACUGUGUGAGGUAAAAUGCAUAAAAGGGAGAACAGCUUGUAAAGGAAAUAAAUCUUGGCGCUUUACUGAAG
rnacentral:lncRNA from 7 species